rnacentral:rRNA from 1 species
GACGUAGGGGGCCAGCGUUGCUCGGAAUUACUGGGUGUAAAGGGUUCGUAGGCGGUGUGGCAAGUCGGGAGUGAAAUCUCUGGGCUCAACCCAGAGUCUGCAUUAGAAACUGUCGGGCUUGAGUAUGGGAGAGGUGAGUGGAAUUUCCGGUGUAGCGGUGAAAUGCGUAGAUAUCGGAAGGAACACCUGUGGCGAAAGCGGCUCACUGGACCAUAACUGACGCUGAGGCGCGAAAGCUAGGGGAGCAAACAG